rnacentral:rRNA from 1 species
GAUGAACGCUGGCGGCGUGCUUAACACAUGCAAGUCGAACGGGAAUUAUUUUAUUGAAACUUCGGUCGAUUUAAUUUAAUUCUGGUGGCGGACGGGUGAGUAACGCGUGGGUAACCUGCCUUAUACAGGGGGAUAACAGUCAGAAAUGGCUGCUAAUACCGCAUAAGCGCACAGAGCUGCAUGGCUCAGUGUGAAAAACUCCGGUGGUAUAAGAUGGACCCGCGUUGGAUUAGCUUGUUGGCAGGGUAACGGCCUACCAAGGCGACGAUCCAUAGCCGGCCUGAGAGGGUGAACGGCCACAUUGGGACUGAGACACGGCCCAGACUCCUACGGGAGGCAGCAGUGGGGAAUAUUGCACAAUGGGGGAAACCCUGAUGCAGCGACGCCGCGUGAAAGAAGAAGUAUCUCGGUAUGUAAACUUCUAUCAGCAGGGAAGAUAGUGACGGUACCUGACUAAGAAGCCCCGGCUAACUACGUG